rnacentral:rRNA from 1 species
GAUCAUGGCUCAGGAUGAACGCUAGCUACAGGCUUAACACAUGCAAGUCGAGGGGCAGCAUGAACUUAGCUUGCUAAGUUUGAUGGCGACCGGCGUACGGGUGAGUAACGCGUAUCCAACCUGCCCUUGUCCACCGGAUAACCCAUCGAAAGGCGGACUAACACGGUAUGCAGUCCACAGCAGGCAUCUAACGUGGACGAAAUGCGAAGGAGAAGGAUGGGGAUGCGU